rnacentral:rRNA from 1 species
UUAAUGUCCAGGAGAGUGGCCCUCCGCAUGGAGGGUUGACUAGAGAUUAUCGGUAUGGGAUGAGCUUGCGUCCGAUUAGCUAGUUGGCGGGGCAACGGCCCACCAAGACGACGAUCGGUAGCCGGCCUGAGAGGGUGAUCGGCCACAUUGGGACUGAGAUACGGCCCAGACUCCUACGGGAGGCAGCAGUAGGGAAUAUUGCACAAUGGGGGAAACCCUGAUGCAGCAACGCCACGUGUGGGAAGAAGCAUUUCGGUGUGUAAACCACUGUCAUGAGGGAAUAAGGCCCGCCUCCGGGCGGGAUUGAAUGUACCUUGAGAGGAAGCACCGGCAAACUCCGUGCCAGCAGCCGCGGUGAUACGAGGGGUGCAAGCGUUGUUAGGAAUUACUGGGCGUAAAGGGAGCGUAGGCGGAGAUUCAAGCGGAUUGUACAAUCCCGGGGCCCAACCCCGGCUCUGCAGUCCGAACUGGAUCUCUUGGAUAGUUCAGGGGCAGGCGGAAUUCCUGGUGUAGCGCUGGAAUGCGUAGAGAUCAGGAAGAACACCGAUGGCGAAGGCAGCCUGCUGGGGACUUAUCGACGCUGAGGCUCGAAAGUGCGGGUAGCAAACAGGAUUAGAUACCCUGGUAGUCCGCACCGUAAACAAUGCAUACUGGGUGCCCGGGGGUUCCCCCGGGUACCGUAGCCAACGCGUUAAGUAUGCCGCCUGGGGAGUACGUACGCAAGUAUGAAACUCAAAGGAAUUGACGGGGGCCCGCACAAGCGGUGGAGCAUGUG